AAUCGUUGCCUUAGGGAAAACAAAAUCAGCAUAUUGCAACGACUAUAAAAUUGUUACAAUAGAAUCAUAUUUUCGUUAACAAUUUUGAAAUGAGUAUAACUAUUGCAAUGGUAUUACAUGGCGUUGCAAUAGAGUCUAAUUUUUGGGCCAAAAAAAUUGGCGGGCAAUUAAAAACUCAAGAGCGGGACAAAUGAAAUAUUUUUACCGGGUUAAUCAAAAUAAAAGAAAACAAGAAAAAGGAAGAUCCACACUCACAAACAAGUCCAUCGACCUCCCGUCACAAACACUGCCCCUGACAAACACUAGACUAAAGAUACAGACAAGAAGAGAUGGGAAGGAGGUCAGAGAGGGGGGGGAGAGAGUAAAUCCAAACAGAUCUGGGCUAAUUUUUAUCCAUCAAUGGAGAUGGAGUGAUUGACCAUACGGGUCUUUAAUCAAAACUAGGGUUUUUUAAUUUGAAUUGGGGGUUUGUUUUUUGGUUAAAGAAUAAUACCAUAGCAAUAGGGGCACAGUGAUGAUCAGAGUCUUUCCCUCUUACAUACUUUGACCCAUUUUGGUUUACUAGCUUAGUUCUAUAAGGCAGGGUUAUUCCAGAGAGCGUGAUCUAUAGUUAUGGAACUAUACUGCUAGAUCUGUUGAGUGGAAAGCAUAUCCCUCCAAGCCAUGGUCUACCUACUGAGCUCAAGAAAAGGAAUGAACUAAAGAAAAUAUGUGCUUCUACCCUUGCUUCUGAGUUUCCCAAGGAUUGCAAGUUUUUUCCGGCAGAUACAAAGGAUGAUUUGCACAAGAAGAUGGAGUGUUUUCUGUUGACCCUUUGAGAACAGCGAAUAGAGUAAUACCUGCCUGGGCAUUGAGAUUGGCGAAAGCAAAGGAAGACAACGAGGCUUCUACCCCGUGCAACACCUCUGGUCUCUAUCCUGCUAGCGGGGGUAAUUUGCACAGCUUCAGGGCAAUCAAGCCAUGUGCAUUCCUCGAUGUGCUUGCGCCGCCUUACUCCCAUUCCGAAGGCAGGCGCUGCACGUUCUACAGGAAAUAUGAUUUCUCUAUUCUACCAGGAUAUCAAUGGACUUGGAGACCUCUAAGAAAGCUUCUGAUAUGGAGGAUAAACUUAACAAAAACUGAAGACACUUGACUUAGAAAGAAUCCCUCCCUACAUAUAAAUGUCGAAGAAAUAUGAGCUAGUGGUCAGAAUUAACAUGAGCCGAAUACCGAUAGCGAUGCAGUUGAUUAUUCAUGAUCCGUAGUACUAUGAUUUAGGCUUGGCCCACUUUGAUAUCAAAAAUUUGAUGUACUUGACCUAUUUUGGCCUAUUUCCGUUAGUGUUCUAAACUCAGAAUUAUUAUUUUAAUUUAGUUACUAUGGUACUGAUCUUGGUUGUGGUCUUCUAGGAAGUGGUUGUGGCAGUGUAGGAAUGAUCAGACUUGUGGUCGGUAAAAGUCUUAUUAUUGUUUUUGGGAUUUGUUGGUGUUGAACUUUUAAAGGUGGAUUAAUAUAUUUAUGAAAUGGCCAUGGGCUAAUUUUUUUAACCAAAUUGUUGCAAUAUAUGACUAAAACAUUGCAUUAGAGAAUGCUUUUGUAAUUGUAAAUAAUUCAAAUAUCAAUGCAUUUGGGACCAAAAAUGUUGCCACAGGUUGUAUAUGGCAAUGAUUAAUCAAAAGGAAGUGUUGCAAUUUUUUGUUGCAAUAGAACCACAAACAACUGCAAUGACUUAAAUACCAUUGCUAUAU